rnacentral:rRNA from 1 species
UACGUAGGGGGCAAGCGUUAUCCGGAUUUACUGGGUGUAAAGGGGGCGCAGACGGCGAUGCAAGCCAGGAGUGAAAGCCCGGGGCCCAACCCCGGGACUGCUCUUGGAACUGCGUGGCUGGAGUGCAGGAGGGGCAGGCGGAAUUCCUGGUGUAGCGGUGAGAUGCGUAGAUAUUAGGAGGAACACCAGUGGCGAAGGCGGCCUACUGGACGGUGACUGACGCUGAGGCUCGAAAGCGUGGGGAGCAAACAGG